CGGGUGAGUAAUGUCUGGGAAACUGCCUGAUGGAGGGGGAUAACUACUGGAAACGGUAGCUAAUACCGCAUAACGUCGCAAGACCAAAGAGGGGGACCUUUGGGCCUCUUGCCAUCGGAUGUGCCCAGAUGGGAUUAGCUAGUAGGUGGGGUAAUGGCUCACCUAGGCGACGAUCCCUAGCUGGUCUGAGAGGAUGACCAGCCACACUGGAACUGAGACACGGUCCAG
rnacentral:rRNA from 1 species